CCGGUCGCAGAGAAGAGCUCCAUCACCAAAUGAAGAUAACAGCAUGCAGAAAUAUUUUUUGACUGAUGGUUGUGACUCCUACAAACAGUCAGCUUAAUAAUUACCAGAUCAUCAUUUUGAGUGACUCCUUUCACACAAGAACAGCCCUGCAAUCAAAGACAGGAUAGAGUGAAAACUGUCCAGUGUUACUGUGACACACAGGCUCUGCUGCUUCAACAGCAUGGCUGGAAUCACCCUUCUGUGGCAGAAAGAAGACAAAGAGUGCAAAGACGGAUCGGGGGACAGAGCAAUUGUACGAGAGCAGAAGGAACCGAGUGAGUAACCAGGCAGAUAAUGAAGAAGAAAAUCCAUAAAUAUUUUUCACCAAAUAAUUAAAAAAAUAUUUUUUUUAAUGUUUUACCGGCGCAGCCUUUACAUGUGGAGUUUGCAUGGUCUCUCUGUGUCUUCUGUUUCCUCCCACAGUCUAAACACAUGCAGUCUGGGUGUAAAUGUGAGUGUGUGAAAAUGUUACUUUAAGUGUUUGAUGAUCUGGUGGACUUCCUCUAUGUGUUUUAGAGACUGAAACAAUGAUGUGCAUGUUUGUUCUUUCUUCUCGCAAAUUGCUUUUUAACUUAUUUUGAUAAAUUUGAUCAACAUGAUUAAGCCUAUGCGUCAGAUUUGAUAACCAAGGGCUUCACCCUAAAACUGGUGCAUUUUGCAGGCUGUAAAUAUGUUUUCUAAUGCUAUAAAACGGGGAAUUGUACCAUUUCACUCUGUGGGGGAUACACUCGGUUUUAGAGCCAUUAGAAGAACUGCAGUUUUUGACACUUAACAUGUUUCCCUCAUUUUUCAGCCCUGGAGGUUGGUGGUUGGCGCUUGGUUAGAGCUGUCUAAUUUUUUCUCUCUCUCAUUCCUCUUGUCUGGUUUUGAGGACUGUGUCCCUGCUGUCUGCGCUGACACAACAGUCGCCGUCUCAGUCUGUGAUGGCUCUGUCUCUUGUGUGCCUCUUUCUGUCUUGAUAUUUAAAAAAGCCAUCCGAUGCUACAAAACGCAGUGAAUUUCAUCACUCGCAUCACAAUCGGAUGUAUGAAACCAAUAAAUGUUUGGCAUUCGAUAAUUUAAUGUUGUCUUAAGCUGUAGCUUUCAAGUGAGUAUUCCAGGCUAAUUUACUCACAUCAGAUUUCAUUCUGAAAACAAAAUGAGGGUUUAAGCCUCAUGUGUUUUAUUAGGCUCUGUGUCAUUCCUCCACUCCUCGGGGAAGCAACACAGAUUGCCAGACUUUUUCUU